CAGUAGCCGCGGUAAUACGAAGGGUGCAAGCGUUACUCGGAAUUACUGGGCGUAAAGCGUGCGUAGGUGGUGGUUUAAGUCCGUUGUGAAAGCCCUGGGCUCAACCUGGGAAUUGCAGUGGAUACUGGGUCACUAGAGUGUGGUAGAGGAUAGUGGAAUUUCCGGUGUAGCAGUGAAAUGCGUAGAGAUCGGAAGGAACAUCUGUGGCGAAGGCGACUAUCUGGGCCAACACUGACACUGAGGCACGAAAGCGUGGGGAGCAAACAGGAUUAGAUCCCCUGUAGUCCCUGUCUCUUAUACA
rnacentral:rRNA from 1 species